rnacentral:rRNA from 1 species
UACGUAGGGUGCGAGCGUUAAUCGGAAUUACUGGGCGUAAAGUGUGCGCAGGCGGCCGAGCAAGUCGAGUGUGAAAACCCCGAGCUUAACUUGGGAACUGCGCUCGAAACUACUUGGCUAGAGUGUGGCAGAGGGAGGUGGAAUUCCACGUGUAGCGGUGAAAUGCGUAGAGAUGUGGAGGAACACCGAUGGCGAAGGCAGCCUCCUGGGCCAACACUGACGCUCAUGCACGAAAGCGUGGGGAGCAAACAGG